rnacentral:sRNA from 1 species
AUCACCAGUUAAACACCUGCUGAAAUAAUUAAAGCGAUCAUGAAAUUCACCAACAUUUUCGUUAUUGCCGCUGCAAUUAUUUGCGCCAUUAGCUCGGCUGAAGCUAGACCUGAGCCGAAACCAGAACCAUUGCCCGAGCCAAUUUUAAAUGUUGUUACUGGUCUCUUGGGCAGCAUUUUGGGCGGCAAAUAAUGGAUGUGGCUUAACUAAUAGCGGUUCAGAUGAUUGCAAACGAUACUACUAGAUAACAAAACAAUAAAA